rnacentral:rRNA from 1 species
AACGAACGCUGGCGGCAUGCCUAACACAUGCAAGUCGAACGCUUCCGGGGGGUUUCGGCCUCCGGGGGAGUGGCGCACGGGUGAGUAGCGCGUGGGAACCUGCCCUGUUGUGGGGGAUAACCGAGGGAAACUUCGGCUAAUACCGCAUACGCCCGAGGAGUGAUCUUCGGGGAAAGAUUUAUCGCAGCAGGAGGGGCCCGCGUCGGAUUAGCUGGUUGGUGGGGUAACGGCCCACCAAGGCGAUGAUCCGUAGCNGGUCUGAGAGGAUGAUCAGCCACACUGGGACUGAGACACGGCCCAGACUCCUACGGGAGGCAGCAGUGGGGAAUAUUGGACAAUGGGGGCAACCCUGAUCCAGCAAUGCCGCGUGAGUGAUGAAGGCCUUAGGGUUGUAAAGCUCUUUCGCCCGCGACGAUGAUGACGGUAGCGGGAGAAGAAGCCCCGGCUAACUUCGUGCCAGCA